rnacentral:rRNA from 1 species
CAGUAGCCGCGGUAAUACGAAGGGGGCUAGCGUUGCUCGGAAUUACUGGGCGUAAAGCGCACGUAGGCGGAUAUUUAAGUCAGGGGUGAAAUCCCGCAGCUCAACUGCGGAACUGCCUUUGAUACUGGGUAUCUUGAGUAUGGAAGAGGUUAGUGGAAUUGCGAGUGUAGAGGUGAAAUUCGUAGAUAUUCGCAGGAACACCAGUGGCGAAGGCGGCUAACUGGUCCAUAACUGACGCUGAGGAGCGAAAGCGUGGGGAGCGAACAGGAUUAGAUACCCCCGUAGUCCCUGUCUCUUAUAC